rnacentral:misc_RNA from 1 species
AUUGCAAUUUUUUUUUUUUCUCGGAGAUGAACUUUCACUCCACUGAAUCAAGUGGGCGUAGAGCCUAGAACAAGCAUAUGUUGAAAAGCAAGGUUUAAACGAAAGAAUACAUCAUGAAGAGCUUUUUGGUAUAGAAAGUGUGCUGCUUUAUUACAAGCACAACAUAUAAAAGACAAGGAAAUUACCUAAAAAUUAGAAACCAAUUCCUGUACGUCAUGAACAAUGUUGCAGAUGAUUGUGCGACAUUG